rnacentral:rRNA from 1 species
AUUGAACGCUGGCGGCAGGCUUAACACAUGCAAGUCGAGCGGAGAUGAGGUGCUUGCACCUUAUCUUAGCGGCGGACGGGUGAGUAAUGCUUAGGAAUCUGCCUAUUAGUGGGGGACAACAUUCCGAAAGGAAUGCUAAUACCGCAUACGCCCUACGGGGGAAAGCAGGGGAUCUUCGGACCUUGCGCUAGUAGAUGAGCCUAAGUCGGAUUAGCUAGUUGGUGGGGUAAAGGCCUACCAAGGCGACGAUCUGUAGCGGGUCUGAGAGGAUGAUCCGCCACACCGGGCCUGAGACACGGCCCAGACUCCUACGGGAAGUAGCAGUGGGGAAUAUUGGACAAUGGGCGGAAGCCUGAUCCAGCCAUGCCGCGUGUGUGAAGAAGGCCUUUUGGUUGUAAAGCACUUUGAGCGAGGAGGAGGCUACCUGGAUUAAUACUCUAGGAUAGUGGACGUUACUCGCAGAAUAAGCACCGGCUAACUCUGUGCCAGCCGCCGCAGUAAUAC